AUGAAAACAAAAGAACCAAAGGCUGGAGUGAUCAGGACCAUGAAUACUCUUCUGUAUAUAUAUAUAUGUAUAUAUGUACAAAGGUCAAACUAUAUACAGAUACAUCUGACUCGACAUACAGUAUUUCUCCACAAAGCGUGGAAAUGUAGCUUGCCAUUGUAUACAUUUCACAGAAUUCUCCAAAAUGCAUAUUCAGUGCAAAUAAUUGCUCUUUGUAAUCUGUCGUCAUCAUCAUCAUCAUCUUCAGGUCAGUACCACCGAAGGGCAACAAAGAUUGGUAAAAAAAUAAAAUCAUAUUUUUGUUUUUAUCUUUGCAAAAUAUUAAUGAAAAAUAAUCUCCUCAGGAACUUAAGUAUGGUACUUGAAAAUAAUACUUGGACACAUCCGUCACCCGUGACCUGUCAAAUAUGGACCGAUAAUUACAGAUUUAAUAGCAAUUACCCUUUCCCCAGUAUUUCCAACCAUUCCACUCUGAACUUAAAAGGUCGCCAAUAAAAAUCCCGCCACUUUUACAAACUACUCAGAGGCAUGGGAAAUAAUCAAAGAUAUUAUUCACGCCGUCUUCACGAGAUAUUGCAGAUGACCAGACUCCACACGUGCCUGUAAGAGCAGAAACAGCCUGACGUGGUACAACACUGAUAAACUGAAAAUAUUAGUAAAUACCAGACACAAACUCAAACGCACUGAUGAACGCAGCUCCGCUAUCGAAAAAACACCAAACUAAACUAAUAACUGCCGUUAUUCACAAAUCUACUGCUCACAGAUUUCAGUUUACUAAUAUUUUGGUGACAACACAAUGAAAUAUAAAGGAAUGUUUCAGAUUCAGUACGACUGAAGCUCUAUGGAUAUCACAAACAGAAAUCAACUAAAAAACUAAAAAACAAGCAAACACUUGACAGUAAUGUACCUGCAAUGCUCUAAGCUUAUGACGCAAGGAAAUAUUCAAAUAUAGUUGGUCAAGUGUAAUCUUAAUACUUCAGCAUUAUACUAGCAUGAUAAUAGUGUGAUAAAAUGUUCAUAAACACAUCUGUCACAUGUUUUUUUAUCAUCAACUAAUUUAUUAUUAUUUUUUUUUGAUUAAGCUACCACUUUAUUAUUAUAAUAAUUUAUAUAUAUAUAUAUAUAUAAAAUUAGUGGGUGAAUUUCACAGAAAUUUGCAGGAAAUAUUUUUUUGACCCUAAAAUCAAUUAAUGAAAUAAGUGGGGCCUAUUUUUAGGAUUAUUAUUUGUUUGACAUUAUCUCCAUGAAAAUUACGUUUUUUUUUUUUUCCUGUAAUGCAAAAAAGGCUGUAAACAUUGUAAAAUUCGAAACAUAAAUUCUUUUUACACAGCUGCACAUUUCUGCUUUUUAAAAGUACACAUCCAUUUGAAGUACAUUACUGUUUAACAACAUACUUGGUUUGUUUGAAAUGAUUAUCUCAUCUGUCACAUUGUUUUUUUUAUUACAUCAACUAAUUUAUUUAUUAUUUUUUUUUGUUAUUAAGCUACCACUUUAUUAUUAUAAUAAUUAUAUAUAUAUAUAUACUAUAAAAUUAGUGGGUGAAUUUCACAGAAAUUUGCAGGAAAUAUUUUUUGACCCUAAAAUCAAUUAAUGAAAUAAGUGGGGCCUAUUUUUAGGAUUAUUAUUUGUUUGACAUUAUCUCCAUAGAAAAUUACGUUUUUUUUUUUUUUCUGUAAUGCAAAAAAAGGCUGUAAACAUUGUAAAAAUUCGAAACAUAAAUUCUUUUUACACAGCUGCACAUUUCUGCUUUUAAAAAGUACACAUCCAUUUGAAGUACAUUACUGUUAACAACAUACUUGGUUUGUUUGAAAUGAUUAUCUGACAAAUCGACACGGACCUAAAACAUUCCUUUAAAGGGGAAAAAGUAAAAGAUGUUAAAACUAUAAGUGUAAAUCAAUCAUCUCCAAUUAAGCAACUGCCUAACGAAUAAAGUGCAAAUCUUUCAAAGACUGUUAGGAAUAACCGCACUGUUAUUAUACACAGUACAGUAAAUCUACGUGGCUCCACACAAACACACAGACGAGAUGAACGGACACCAAACUUCAACAUUCAACUGUUUUUAAAGCUGAUCUAAGUCAUAAUUUGAGUCGUUACUCUAAGACCAAUUUAUCUGCCAUAAGCACACACCUCCCAAGUUUUGAUUCAGAUCUUUAGAGUAUUUUCAAUCACUAUCAUGAAGAAGAGCAAGCUCAUCUUUUUUAGAAUAGUACAAAAACGAUCACAUCUUGCCAAUAUAGUCAAAUAUGAAUUGUGCAGUAGAUGUGAGGAUGGAUCCCGCUGCAUGCUUUCCAAAUAAACCAUGCAAUUCCCUUGUGCUUGAUCAGGGACGGUUUGAUUAAACGCUGCACUUCACUAAUUGAGCAACGUUUCAUUUAAAAAAGACUGCUUCUAUUUCAUACUGGGUGCACUGUAUACCUGCACUGAGUAUGUAUAUUAUACUUCUAGAGCGCAGAGUGAAUAUACAAAGUGAAGAAAGAUACAAGCGCAGAUACAUGCUGCUCUCUGUGGGAAAGAGGACACGGGAGUCACGUUACUGACGGGAUGUGGGAUUAAUCUUUGGCUUCAGCCACACGUAUCAUCACCGGUACAUGUACAAGAAAUGCCCAGUGUCCAGAAAUGAGAUGAAGAAACUUCCUAACGAUGUAUUUCUCACACACACACAUGCAAACACAGACAUUCUAGCGCAGUCCCUGAGCUGCUGACACAAACAGGCCUUUGCUUCUUUUGGACAGGUGAGAUAAUGCCGUUGAAACAGUCAGAUUUCCUAUUGGCUAGGAGCAUCUGUAAAAAAUUAUGAUAUUUUGCAUAAUAUAAUUUCAAGUUCUUUUUUAUUUUUAUUAUUACCAUGAGACAAUUUUGUACAAAAUUAUAUUACUUAUUAUUUUAAGAUCAUUACAAUUUUUGUGCAAUGGGACAAUUUUUAUAAGUAUAUUUUAAGGACCAUCAAUUUUUUUUUUUUUUGAUGAUAUUUGCAUAAUAUAAUUCAAGUUCUUUUUAUUUUAUUAUUACCAUGAGACAAUUUUGUACAAAAUUAUAUUACUUAUUAUUUUAAGAUCAUUACAAUUUUUGUGCAAUGGGACAAUUUUUAUAAGUAUAUUUUUAAGGACCAUCAAUUUUUUUUUUUUUUGCAUUACUGUAUGACAAUUAUUUCCAUUAAUGAGUGACUUGCUUUUUACUUCUUCAUAUAUUAUAUUGUAUAUUUUUAGGACCCUCAAAUUUUUUUUUUUUUUUUCAAAAUAAAUUGUGAUUGUUCUAAAAUCAUAAGUAAUAUAAUUUAGUAUAUCUUACAUUAUAUCGUUUAUAGAUAUUGAUUUUGAGGUGAAAUAUGACCAGAAAAUAGUCUCUGACGUUUCUUAACAGUCACUCUUCUGAUUUAAAAAACUGCAGUGAUCGUAUUAAAUACUUUUGAAGCAUGCUUAUCCCAUUAGUACUUCAGAUAAUUCAAUCUGUACUUAAACUCUAAUAAAUCAGCGUGAGUAAUUGUAAUAUCAGUACACUAAACGUGUGCGCUGGGAGUAGGUUACUGUGGAUGGAAGACCUCCGAGGCUCAUCUUCAGCAAUCACACAGACAGCUGCCCUACAAAAACCACAACAUCUGAUGGAGUGAUCUGACAUCAGAGCGUCUCUCGCGGCCGUGUUAGCAAAGCAGAGACACGUGAGAAGCCAGGGCUGUGUUUUGAGGCUGAAGAGCGAGAGCGGACAGUGAGACGACGCCAUGCCCUGUGCAGAAUAAGGAAAAGCCAUUGAUUUUUGCCCCGUUCCACACAAGAGAGGAGCUGCUCUUAAAUGAGGUUUCACAAAGCCGCUCUCGCUGAUGUUCUCUUAAAGUGCUUAUUGGUUCGCCUGUGCAUACGUAACGCAGAUGACACAGUGAAGAGUUCUGGGCCGGGACACCUCGAUGAUGUGAACGAUGUGUGCAAACCCAAAAGGAUCGCAUGAGUGGUUACGGAUCACCUAUUUCAGCUUGAGCUCUAUUUUUGUUAUUAUGCAAUCAAUAUAAAAAAAAAAAGCAAAGGGAAAAACUGAAUAUUUCCAGCAACCAAGCAAGCAUGUUAUUUUUUAAUGUUUAUAAGCAUAUUAUUUUUCAUUUUGUUCUUAGUUACCCUAAUGAUCUGGUUUUAAAGUGCCCAUCUGGAUGACUCCGUGAGCACGUAUCUUCAAUGCAUCGCUCUCUAUCCUGCAUAGUCAGUGAAUGUGUCUCUUUUUGUAUGUUUUGUAUAUUUUUUUUCACAUGUUUCCUGCCCUUCGUGUUCUAAAAGUCUUGCUCUCCAGGGUUUGUGGGUGCUUGCCCGUCUCAAUGCAGCCGGUACUCAUUCAGUAAAAGCUGAAGCGAACGGAGGAUCAGGCAAAAGGUGGGUACGGAGCAUCCGGUCCCGUCUGGUUCCACACUAGGAGCGGUAGUUGUUCUGCUGCUCAGUGCUCUGUAGUACAGCGGCCGGGCCCGGAC
rnacentral:lncRNA from 1 species